UCUUUCUUUGCUGGCGACCGGCGCACGGGUGAGUAACACGUAUCCAACCUGCCCUUUACUCGGGGAUAGCCUUUCGAAAGAAAGAUUAAUACCCGAUAGCAUAAUGAUUCCGCAUGGUUUCAUUAUUAAAGGAUUCCGGUAAAGGAUGGGGAUGCGUUCCAUUAGGUUGUUGGUGAGGUAACGGCCCACCAAGCCUUCGAUGGAUAGGGGUUCUGAGAGGGAGGUCCCCCACAUUGGAACUGAGACACGGUCCAA
rnacentral:rRNA from 1 species